rnacentral:rRNA from 1 species
AGAGGGUGAUCUUGGCUCAGGAUAAACGCUGGCGGCGCACAUAAGACAUGCAAGUCGAACGGAAGUCGUUAUAAAACGGAUUGAAGAUUUAUCAGAUUGAAGUUUUAUAACAAUGGCUUUAGUGGCGGACUGGUGAGUAACGCGUAAGGAAUCUACCUGUUAGAGGGGAAUAACAAUGAGAAAUCAUUGCUAAUACCGCAUAUGCCAUAGUUAUCGCAUGAUAAUAGUGGGAAAGGAGCAAUCCGCUAACAGAUGAUCUUGCGUCUGAUUAGUUAGUUGGUGGGGUAAAGGCCUACCAAGACGACGAUCAGUAGCCGGACUGAGAGGUUGAACGGCCACAUUGGGACUGAGAUGCGGCCCAGACUCCUACGGGAGGCAGCAGUCGGGAAUAUUGCGCAAUGGAGGAAACUCUGACGCAGUGACGCCGCGUAUAGGAAGAAGGUUUUCGGAUUGUAAACUAUUGUCGUUAGGGAAGAAAAAAGACAGUACCUAAGGAGGAAGCUCCGGCUAACUACGUGCCAGCAGCCGCGGUAAUACGUAGGGAGCAAGCGUUAUCCGGAUUUAUUGGGUGUAAAGGGUGCGUAGACGGGCGAUCAAGUUAGUUGUGAAAUCCCUCGGCUCAACUGAGGAACUGCAACUAAAACUGGUUGUCUUGAGUGCAGGAGAGGUAAGUGGAAUUCCUAGUGUAGCGGUGAAAUGCGUAGAUAUUAGGAGGAACACCAGUGGCGAAGGCGACUUACUGGACUGUAACUGACGUUGAGGCACGAAAGUGUGGGGAGCAAACAG